GAUCUGGAUAUGUAUUGGCUGAGCUAUUUUUUCUGCAACAAGCUUUGGUGUUACAUCAGUGUGAUUGAAGUGAGGCUUGGAUUCGCUCCCUUUGCGGGGGUGGGGCCACUCCCCUGACCCUGAGCCUGUUGGUGCUGCUCACGUGAGAGGAGAAAGGAGAAGGCUUGGGGUUCACUUCCAACUCAGCAACUGCUCCCCAGGCCGCACUCAGCUCUCUGGGAGCUCAGAAUUCCAAUGACUUCCAAGGACUCCUCCGUCUUGCACAAAGUGCAACCGUCCCAGGUCCUGAGAGGUUGGACACGAGGUAAAACGAAGUCUUGAAGUGUGAAAUCCUUUUGCCUGUGUGGCAGUGACAAACUUGGCUUGUGGAAAGAAGGCGUUGAGAAUGAAAUGUGAUGGACUGAGCUCCUGCAGAAUCCCUGCAUCCCAUGUUCUCGGCCAUAAACUCCGUGUGAGCUGAGAAGAGGCCUGAGGAGGAGUUCCUGGACCGCGGGUUCUGUGCCUGGACAGCCAGGGGCCUUGGCACUGUCCAUGCAGUAGAAAGACCACGAUCCCAGGGAGACAUCAGGCUGGCUGACUUUUCAGAGGUGACUCAGCGGACGGACUGACAUUGACGUUGGAUAUCCAGCAGAGAGAUUGGCAGCCUUCCCUGGGACACAGGCAGCCUCAGCUUUUAUCUCUAGCCUGGAGCAGUCAGAGGCCCUGGACAAGCCUGACCCAACCGUCAUCAGUCACCUGAUAAGAGGCCCUGUCUCUGCCGCCUUGAUGGACCCAGCAUCUCCCACCUGUCUUCCUCAAUAGUUAUUCUCCCACGCUUACAGUGAAAUGGAAAUUAUCUGUGAGGCCAGAGGUCCUGUCCCAAUCUUCCCCCGUGUCCACUGAUUUAUCACACAUUGGAUAAUUAUGUGUCGGAUGACUGGAAACAUGGCUACUAUUCCAUGUAGGGAAAGAUUACGGGAGUCUCUUAAGCAAAUAUUAGCACACAAGCAGUGACUGUUCUGGGUGAGUACAUCAGAUUACACAGCUGGCACCAGAUGUCUCCGUGGGCCUUGUCAUGAGCCGGGAAGCUGCCAUGCGGUGCUGACAGGGAAGUUUCUAGAAGCCGCGUGACUCUGAAAGCAUGAGACAUACAGACCCACAGAGAUCUGCCACUUCGGGGAGCUUCUGUUCUUGCCCGUGGGGAGACUGACUGUAAGGCCACUGCAGGUGGCUGCUGUACCCGUAGCAAGGGUAGGUUCUGUUGGCUGGAGAUUGCCAGCCCAUAUGGGUAACGGGGACUGAAUCACUUUUGCCACCUUGGGAAAGAGUCUGGUCUUCAAGGCACUCCCUGAAAAGGUCGAACAAUAGGUUCCCUGUGAAAAACCCAGUGGAUGAAAUAUUCCUUGUGGGUGAGAGGUCUAAUCAUCAAGGACAUCUGGUAAUUUAAUGGCCAGGACCUCAGUAUCCCAGGGGAGCAGGCUGCCCAGGGGCCAGGUGGGCACUGCCUGUCUGAGAAGCCUGUGAAAGUCUUGGCUGGACAUUUGCAGCUGUCCUGUAUACAGGUGGCACUCUCCCCCACCUCCCACCCCGCCCCUUGCCUCCUCUGCCUCGGAUUCUCAUUCACACUCAAUCUUUUAAAAACUAACACCUGUCCUGAAUCUACACAUCACUUAACCUGUUUGUUGCACGUUUCCAUCCACGGACUGAAGUUCUGUGGUUCUGCGGCCACCUCCCUGUGGAAGCGAGCACCUACCACGUGGGACCUUUUAGUGUGAAAAUAUUAUCUCAGAGAUCCCUCCCCUGCUCUCAAGCCACACUAGGACUCCAAUUCCUUGAGUGCUGUAUAAUUCACACGAGCAAUGCCAUCAUUUCUUACGAUUCUUUCACAUAAUAAUUGCAAAUCAGACAAGACCAUAAAACUCACCUCAUCUUAAUUUCUCCUUGUGAAAAAUUCCCUAGAUCUCUGCCGGCGCCAUGGCUCAAUAGGCUAAUCCUCCGCCUUGCGGUGCCAGCACACUGGGUUCUAGCCCUGGUUGGGGUGCCAGAUUCUGUCCCAGCUGCCCCUCUUCCAGGCCAGCUCUCUGCCGUGGCCUGGGAGUGCAGUGGAGGAUGGCCCAAGUGCUUGGGCCCUGCACCCCAUGGGAGACCAGGAGAAGCACCUGGCUUCUGCCUUCGGAUCAGCGCAGUGCACCUGCCACAGCACGCCGGCCGCGCCAGCCAUUGGAGGGUGAACCAAUGGCAAAGGAAGACCUUUCUCUCUGUCUCUCUCUCACUGUCCACUCCGCCUGUCAAAAAAAAAAAAAAAAAAAAAAAAAAUUCCCUAGAUCUCACCACACACUGCAGAAAACAAAGGAGCGUAGAAAUCCAGGUUCGCCUCUGUGCUUUUGUGCACCUGUCUGCACUGGGCCUCACUUUACAAUUGCACGUGCCCCCUCCCCUCUAUCAAGCUCAUUCCCAAAAAGACAAAGAGGUACUUAGGAAACUCUUGCACAAAUCUCUAGAGCUGUGAAAGGCAGAGAAAGAGAGGGAAGAGACACAGGUAUAGAGUGAAAUCCUCGCUUACCAAAUGGCUGCAAUGACCAGAGCUGCACCAAGUCAAAUCCAGGUGCUGGAACUCCUUCUUGAUCUCCCAUGUAGGUGACAGGGGCCCAAGUACUUGACCCACUGCUUUCCCAGGGGUAUUAGCAGGGACACUGCUCAGAGGCAGAGCAGCUGGGACUUGAACUGGCACUAUGAUAUGGGCUGCCAAAAUUUCAAGUGGUGGCUUAACCUGCUGUACCGUGCCGCUGGCCCCUUGAGUCGCAUUCAUGAUAUACAACUACAGAAUGUGUACCCAGUUUCACCCCUCAAAUUGCACACAAAACAGAAUGCUUUGGCCGGCGCCGUGGCUCACUAGGCUAAUCCUCCGCCUUGCGGCGCCAGCACACGGGUUGUAGUCCCGGUCAGGGCACCGGAUUCUGUCCCGGCUGCCCCUCUUCCAGGCCAGCUCUCUGCUGUGGCCCGGGAGUGCAGUGGAGGAUGGCCCAAGUGCUUGGGCCCUGCACCU